GAGUCUCCGAGGAAGCUGCUAACUACCUCAAAGCAAUAUUAUUGUUAGACACCCC
rnacentral:tRNA from 1 species